CUCACUCGAUACCUUGAUUGCAUUCAAGACAAGAAGACCCGAGAGAAUUUUGCAAAUGGCAUCAAGACCCAUCGUUCAACAAGAAGCUAGAGGUGCAACAGUAAUGGAGGGAGGGAAACAACAUAAAAAGAAGAAUGAUGCAACAAAGGGAAGGAACUGCUAGCACUUGGUGAUAUUGGGAAUUGGAAUUUGCCCAAUCGCCCAUCACAAGGAGUUUUGGUGCCAAACUACUUGGUAAUGCACCAGUACCAGCAACUGCUGAAAAUAACAAGAAACAAGCUUGUACUAAUAUGGCUAGUUCUCCUAUUGUUGGAGGAGUUGUGGCGGCCAAAAGAAUGGCCCCCAAACCUGAUCAGAAGAAAGUGGUCUUAAAAUCUAAGCCCGAAGAAGUCAUUGACAUCAAAGCUAGUCCAAACAAGAAGGAGGUCCUGAAAGAAAAGAAGAAGGAAGGAGAUUCCAACUUCAAAAAGAAAUCACAUCACACUCUUACUUCAGUGCUCAAUGCUAGAAGCAAGUAUUGUAGGCAGCAUGGGGCAUAACUAACAAGCUGAAUGAGCGGAUUAUUGACAUCGAUUCCGAUGAUGUUGACGAUGAGCUUGCUGUUGUGGAGUGUAUUGAUGACAUUUACAAGUUCUAUUAGCUUGUUGAGAACAAGAGCCACCCCAUGACUACAUAGACUCACAACCUGAGAUAAAUGAGAGAUGAAAGCUAUACUGUUUGAUUGGCUGAUACAAGUCCACACCAAGUUUAACCUUUUACUUGAGACCCUUUACUUGACAAUCAAUAUAGUUGAUCGGUUCCUGGCGGUUAAGAAUGUUCCAAAGAGUUAAUUGCAAUUGGUUGACAUCAGUGCCCUGCUGAUGGCAACCAAGUAUGAAGAAAUCUAUCCCCCUCAAAUAGGGCUUACACUCAUGAACAAAUACUAGUUAUGGAUAAAAUCAUACUGGCCAAGCUGGAAUGGACUUUGACUAUGCCAACACCUUUGGUUUUCCUACUUCAUUUUAUCAAGGCAUCAGUCCCAGAUUAGGAGGGAUUGUGCUAGAUUAUUGGUGAGUUUCCACUCUACGGUUGGGAAUAGAGAGGAGAAGGUUGUGUACUUAAAGUAUUCUGAUCCUGAGAAAGGAGUUGUUGCUAUGCUUCCACCAGCUAAAAAUCUUCUGCCCGAAGGUUCUAACUCUCAAUAGAGUUAAUGAAGCAAAGGGAGAAGCAUGGAUAGAGUAUUAUGCAGGAUUCGGCAAUAAUCAUUUGUAUUUGUUUUCCAUAAUUUGUUCAUAAGCCAUAGACCAUAGUUUACAAAUCUGAUUUAUAAAAGUUUCAAAUGUUGCACUUA